AAUUCAAAUUUCUCAAGUUGGAGAGAUCUGGUAAUCUUUCCAUAGAUGAGCACCCGCAAAGAUCCAAGGACUCCAAGGAUUCCAAUCUAUCCAGGCCAUGAAUCUCUGUUAGUUUUUUGCACUCGUGAGCAUCUAAAUGCUUCAAGUUUCUCAAGUUGGAGAGAUCUGGUAAUCUUUCCAUAGAUGAGCACCCCGCAAGAUCCAAGGACUCCAAGGAUUCCAAUCUAUCGAGGCCUUGAAUCUCCGUUAGUUUCUCGCACCAGCUAGCAUUGAAAUACUUCAAGGAAUCCAAUCCCACAAG